GGUUUGAAUCCCUCCUGGGUGUGCCACAUCAGAUUCCACCUAGGAAAUUCGUUGAACGACAUGCCAACACGUGUCACGGUAAUUAAACUUACUGUUUCAUCUAAUUAGAAAGUCAUCGUUUAUUUUUUGUGGGCUUGCUAUUGUUUUGGGCCUAAUUUUAAACAAACCAGCUUCAUAAGUUCAGGUUCGUCAUUGUUCUUCGUUUCAUCGCGACCUCUGAACUUCGUCUUCACCACCGAAAACAUUAUCACCACCGAAACGUUUUGGAAUCUUCGUGUUAAAUCUCUUAUUAAUUCAAUUAAUCAUGAUGUAGCCUUCAAUGCGAGAUUUUCUUCAGCGAGGUGGUGUACCUGCGACUAUAAAAAGGUAGAUGUUCUUCCACAGUUGAGGUUAGAUUGCGGUGAUUCUGGGAAGCGGCGGUGAUGAACUCAUAUGUCCGUUGAUAUGCUAUUACUUUGAUCCAAAAGCGAAUUUUUAUUCCAGCCACCGUAAGUGCUAAUCGGGUUCGAACCUUAUCUUCAAGCGGCGAGAAACAAAUAUGGUCCGAGCCGGAAUAUCAUCAACCAAGGAGUUCCGAUAAGGUUCAACUGUCAAGGAGGAAGCGGCUGGUUGGAGGGGGUCUCAACCGACGUGAGUUCGAAGAGAGCCAAGAAAAUCUAUAAACAAGAUGAGAAAUGAGAUCAAAUUUCAAAAGACUUUUUGGUGAGAAAGAUGAAAUUGUUUUUCUACAAGGUAUAAUUGAUUACAAUGGGAAGAAUCCACUAGAAGACAGGCGCUCACUCUACAAUUCCAUGAAGGGUUCUCUUAGAUUUGAUGUUACCUUGAGACAGUUCAAGGAGAAUCUUCAGACUAUGAUAAAGAAAUAUACAACUACGAAAAUGACAGGGUGAACAAGCUUCUGCUUCGAAUCCUCACCAACAAAAGUGAUAUUAGUUGUCAAAGGCUGUUUGGGGAGCUGAAGGGAUAGCUUUUCAAUCUGCUAAUGGGAAAUCAAAGGAGAAUAAAAAGAGUGACAAAGAAGCAUGAGUUGGUGUCUUCACGUAAUGCUAAGAAUGCCUAACACGGUAGUAACAGAGGAUAUAUGGAGAAUUCAUUUUUUCUUGGUAUUGAAGGGCAUAAAUGAAGUUACCUCUUUGAUCAUGGCAGCAUUUUAGAUAUAUAAUUAUUAGGUUCUCUUUUUAUAUGCAAUGGCUAUGUGAUCGCAUCAUUUUCUUCUACAGCUGUUUUUGAACUUAAAUCUUAACUUUCUGGUGUCGUCUAUGUGCAUUUGAUUAGCUUAUGAAUGUAAAUUAAAACGAGCAAGUACUAUAGAUCUUUGUUUCAGUUUAUGCAAAUGUUUAAAGUUCAAAGAAAAAAAAGUGACAUUUUAUGUUAGUUUA